ensembl:lncRNA
CGGCCCCAUAAGUGAGCACGGCCCUAUGAGUAAGCACGGCCCUAUAAGGCCGCCCCAUGAGUAAGCACGGCCCCAUAAGCGAGCACGGCCCCAUAAGGCCGCCCCAUAAGUAACCACAGCCCCAUAAGUGAGCGGAGUCCCAUACAUAACCAUGGCCCCAUAAGGCCACCCCAUAAGUUACCACGGCCCCAUAAAUAACCACGGCCCUAUAAAGCGGCCCCAUAAGUGAGCGCGGCCCCAUAAGUGAGCAAAGCCCCAUAAGGCCGCCCCAUAAGUGAGUGCGGCCCCAUAAGGCCACCCCAUAAGUAACCACGGCCCCAUAAGGGCCACCCUAUAAGUAACCACAGCCCCAUAAGUGAACACGGCCCCAUAAAACCGCCCCAUAAGUGAGCACGGCCCCAUAAGAACGCCCCAUAAGUGAGCACGGCCCCAUAAGGCCGCCCCAUAUGUUACCACAGCCCCAUAAGUGAGCGCGGCCCCAUAAGUGAGCGCGGCCCCAUAAGGCCACCCCAUAAGUAACCACGACCCCAUGAGUGAGUGCAGCCCCAUGAGUGAGUGCAGCCCCAUGAGGCCGCCCCAUAAGUGAGCACGGCCCCAUAAGUAACCACGGCCCCAUAAGGCCGCCUCAAAAGUAACCACGGCCCCAUAAGUGAGCACGGCCCUAUGAGUAACCACGGCCCCAUAAAGCCACCCCAUAAGUAACCACGGCCCCAUGAGUGAGCACGGCCCCAUAAGUGAGCGCGGCCCCAUAAGGCCGCCCCACAAGUAACCACAGCCCCAUGAGGCCGCCCCACAAGUAACCACGGCCCCAUAAAGGCCGCCCCAUAAGUAACCACGGCCCCAUAAGGCACCCCCAUAAGUAACCACGGCCCUAUAAGGGCCCCCCCAAUAAGUAACCACAGCCCCAUAAGGCCGCCCCAUAAGUAACCACGGCCCCAUAAGGCCGCCCCAUAAGUAACCGCAGCCCCAUAACACGGCCCCAUAAGUAACCACGGCCCUAUAAGGGCCCCCCCAAUAAGUAACCACAGCCCCAUAAGGCCGCCCCAUAAGUAACCACGGCCCCAUAAGGCCGCCCCAUAAGUAACCACGGCCCCGUAAGGGCCACCCCAUAAGGGCCGCUCCGUAAGUAACCACGGCCCCAUAAGUAACCCCGGCCCCAUAAGUGACCUCAGCCCCAUAAGUAACGGCCGCCCCAUAAGUAACCACGGCCCUAUAAGGGCCCCCCCAUAAGUAACCGCAGCCCCAUAAACAACCUCAACCCC